GAUGAACGCUAGCGGCAGGCUUAAUACAUGCAAGUCGUGGGGCAGCAUGAGUGUAGCAAUACAUUUGAUGGCGACCGGCAAACGGGUGCGGAACACGUACACAACCUUCCUAUAAGUGGGGAAUAGCCCAGAGAAAUUUGGAUUAGUACCCCGUAACAUAAUGAUGUGGCAUCACAUUAUUAUUAUAGCUUCGGCGCUUAUUGAUGGGUGUGCGGCUGAUUAGAUAGUUGGCGGGGUAACGGCCCACCAAGUCUACGAUCAGUAGCUGAUGUGAGAGCAUGAUCAGCCACACGGGCACUGAGACACGGGCCCGACUCCUACGGGAGGAAGCAGUAAGGAAUAUUGGUCAAUGGACGCAAGUCUGAACCAGCCAUGCCGCGUGAAGGAUUAAGGUCCUCUGGAUUGUAAACUUCUUUUAUCUGGGACGAAAAAAGGCGAUUCUUCGUCACUUGACGGUACCAGAUGAAUAAGCACCGGCUAACUCCGUGCCAGCAGCCGCCGCCGUAA
rnacentral:rRNA from 1 species